rnacentral:sRNA from 1 species
GACGGAGGUAGGCUUACGAGGCCCGUGUGGGGUAGGAAGGGUCUUUCCUCGUCCGGGACACUCUGGCACGACCAUGGACCGUAGGAAAAAGCCUUUGGACGUCACGGCCUCUUCGUUGGUAGAUCUUAAGGCUGAACUCUUCCGAAAGCAAGAAGAAUUCAAACAAGAAAAACUUCUAAAAGAUUCUGGAGUUUUUGGAAAACCAAAAACAACUAACAAGAAACCAAGUAUCUGGAGCAAACAGAAUGUAGGCGUUUCAAAUCGAGCUGAGAAGGAUGCUGAACAGAAGAUUGAAGAACAGAAGACUUUAGACAAAGCAAGGGAAAAAUUGGAAGAAAAAGCCAAAUUAUAUGAAAAAAUGACUAAAGGAGACUUUAUAGAUGAAGAAGUGGAGGAUAUGUACCUUGUGGAUUUCACACAGAAGAUCAUAGACAAGCGCAAAGAAAUGGAGGCAUCUGGUGCCCAUAGAGAUUCUCAAAAGGCAGGAGAAAGGGACGAUGAUGAGGAAAACCUUCCUGAGGGAGAGAUCCCUCCUCCCCAAGACCCCAGUGAAGAAUGGUUGGUAACAUCAUGGAUUAGCUCAGAGGAACAUCCUCAGACUUGCGCUGACAUUUUGGGAGUGAUUUUGUUGGGUUGUUAUCAAGCCAUUUCUCUUUAUUCUUCCUGGGUGUUCUUUUGAGACUUCCCUUUAAGUUAGGUUGGAUUAGGUUAUUAUAGUUGUAGAAACAGUAGCUCAAAUGAAGACAUAAUU